ensembl:lncRNA
AACAAACAUGGCCUUAUAUAUGGAAUACCACCCCUCGUCUUUCACAUACUGGCUCUAUCAGUGAGGAGGAAGGUGAGAGCUGCAUUCCUGACCUGUGGAGGUGAGGUCCAUGGGAGGAAAGAUCUGCUGCUCGAUUGGUGGGUUUUCUUUUCAAUCCAAGCUGCCCAGAGCACAAGCCAGCCAGUGUGGCUAAGAGUACAUCCCCAGGUUUCUAAGAACUCUGACAACAAUUCCAAGGAAGAGAGAUUGACACACUUGCUUAUGAAUCCAUCUGAAGUCCCGAACGCUGUGCCAAAACCACAAGUGAAACAGAGUCACAUGAGGUGGAAUGAACAUUGAGGCUUCGUCACAGGCCACAAUGACUCAGACUUAGAGGACCCACUUACUUCCACACUCACCAAUUUACCCACCCGCUAGCUCUGAGACAAACACUCAUUCUUCUCCAUACUCACAGCUAUUUCUGCACAUUCUGAGAACUUGGUUUACCGCUUCUCAAAAGUGCCACGUGUUGUACAGCAGAAGAAAGUGAAUCUUGUUUUUGAUGAGGAUACAGGUUUAUCCCGUUCCCACACGUGAAGAGUGAGAACAACAUGAAUAUGGUAUUGGAACAGAGCCAAUAUCGGGCCUUUUUAAGCUCUUAAAGGGAAAAAAUAGCCCGUGUGGUCAACCGAACUGCAAAUUUUUGCCUGGUGUGGUUUACUGUAGUCAUCACAAUUCUGUGGUGGCAAAUGUAGUAGUUUUUCC